GGUUAAGCGACUAAGCGUACACGGUGGAUGCCCUGGCAGUCAGAGGCGAUGAAGGACGUGCUAAUCUGCGAAAAGCGCCGGCGAGGUGAUAUGAACCCUUGACCCGGCGAUGUCCGAAUGGGGAAACCCAGUGCAAUCCGUUGCACUAUCGUUAACUGAAUACAUAGGUUAACGAGGCGAACCGGGGGAACUGAAACAUCUAAGUACCCCGAGGAAAAGAAAUCAACCGAGAUUCCCCCAGUAGCGGCGAGCGAACGGGGAGCAGCCCGGAGUCUGAAUCAGCUUGUGUGUUAGUGGAACGGUCUGGAAAGUCCGACGGUACAGGGUGAUAGUCCCGUACACGAAAAUGCACAGGUUGUGAACUCGAAGAGUAGGGCGGGACACGUGGUAUCCUGUCUGAAUAUGGGGGGACCAUCCUCCAAGGCUAAAUACUCCUGACUGACCGAUAGUGAACCAGUACCGUGAGGGAAAGGCGAAAAGAACCCCGGCGAGGGGAGUGAAAAAGAACCUGAAACCGUGUACGUACAAGCAGUGGGAGCCUCUUUAUGGGGUGACUGCGUACCUUUUGUAUAAUGGGUCAGCGACUUAUAUUCUGUAGCAAGGUUAACCGUAUAGGGGAGCCGAAGGGAAACCGAGUCUUAACUGGGCGUUAAGUUGCAGGGUAUAGACCCGAAACCCGGUGAUCUAGCCAUGGGCAGGUUGAAGGUUGGGUAACACUAACUGGAGGACCGAACCGACUAAUGUUGAAAAAUUAGCGGAUGACCUGUGGCUGGGGGUGAAAGGCCAAUCAAACCGGGAGAUAGCUGGUUCUCCCCGAAAGCU
rnacentral:rRNA from 1 species